rnacentral:tRNA from 1 species
AGGAUAGUUCAAUUAGGUAGAACAUUAGUUUUCCAAACUAAAGAUAUAGGUUCGAUUCCUAUUCG